GUCGUGUACAGAUCUAGCUUGCUAGAUGCUGACGAGCGGCGGACGGGUGAGUAAUGCAUAGGAAUCUGCCCGGUAGUGGGGGAUAACCUGGGGAAACCCAGGCUAAUACCGCAUACGUCCUACGGGAGAAAGGGGGCUUCGGCUCCCGCUAUUGGAUGAGCCUAUGUCGGAUUAGCUAGUUGGUGAGGUAAAGGCUCACCAAGGCAACGAUCCGUAGCUGGUCUGAGAGGAUGAUCAGCCACAUCGGGACUGAGACACGGCCCGAACUCCUACGGGAGGCAGCAGUGGGGAAUAUUGGACAAUGGGGGCAACCCUGAUCCAGCCAUGCCGCGUGUGUGAAGAAGGCCCUCGGGUUGUAAAGCACUUUCAGCGAGGAAGAACGCCUAGUGGUUAAUACCCAUUAGGAAAGACAUCACUCGCAGAAGAAGCACCGGCUAACUCCGUGCCAGCAGCCGCGGUAAUACGGAGGGUGCAAGCGUUAAUCGGAAUUACUGGGCGUAAAGCGCGCGUAGGUGGCUUGAUAAGCCGGUUGUGAAAGCCCCGGGCUCAACCUGGGAACGGCAUCC
rnacentral:rRNA from 1 species